GCAGACGGUUACUUAAGCAGGAUGUGAAAUCCCCGGGCUCAACCUGGGAACUGCGUUCUGAACUGGGUGACUAGAGUGUGUCAGAGGGAGGUAGAAUUCCACGUGUAGCAGUGAAAUGCGUAAAGAUGUGGAGGAAUACCGAUGGCGAAGGCAGCCUCCUGGGAUAACACUGACGUUCAUGCUCGAAAGCGUGGGUAGCAAACAGGAUUAGAUACCCUGGUAGUCCACGCCCUAAACGAUGUCAAUUAGCUGUUGGGCAACUUGAUUGCUUAGUAGCGUAGCUAACGCGUGAAAUUGACCGCCUGGGGAGUACGGUCGCCAGAUUAAAACUCAAAGGAAUUGACGGGGACCCGCACAAGCGGUGGAUGAUGUGGAUUAAUUCGAUGCAACGCGAAGAACCUUACCUGGUCUUGACAUGUACGGAAUCCUCCAGAGACGGAGGAGUGCCUUCGGGAACCGUAACACAGGUGCUGCAUGGCUGUCGUCAGCUCGUGUCGUGAGAUGUUGGGUUAAGUCCCGCAACGAGCGCAACCCUUGUCAUUAGUUGCCAUCAUUUAGUUGGGCACUCUAAUGAGACUGCCGGUGACAAGCCGGAGGAAGGUGGGGAUGACGUCAAGUCCUCAUGGCCCUUAUGAUCAGGGCUUCACACGUCAUACAAUGGUCGGUACAGAGGGUAGCCAAACCGCGAGGUGGAGCCAAUCUCACAAAACCGAUCGUAGUCCGGAUUGCACUCUGCAACUCGAGUGCAUGAAGUCGGAAUCGCUAGUAAUCGCAGGUCAGCAUACUGCGGUGAAUACGUUCCCGGGUCUUGUACACACCGCCCGUGA
rnacentral:rRNA from 1 species